rnacentral:rRNA from 1 species
GACGAACGCUGGCGGCGUGCUUAACACAUGCAAGUCGAACGGAAAGGCCCUGCUUUUGUGGGGUGCUCGAGUGGCGAACGGGUGAGUAACACGUGAGUAACCUGCCCUUGACUUUGGGAUAACUUCAGGAAACUGGGGCUAAUACCGGAUAGGAGCUCCUGCUGCAUGGUGGGGGUUGGAAAGUUUCGGCGGUUGGGGAUGGACUCGCGGCUUAUCAGCUUGUUGGUGGGGUAGUGGCUUACCAAGGCUUUGACGGGUAGCCGGCCUGAGAGGGUGACCGGCCACAUGGGGACUGAGAUACGGCCCAGACUCAUAAGGGAGGAAAGAGGGGGGAAUAUUGCACAAUGGGCGGAAGCCUGAUGAAGCACCGCCGCGUGCGGGAUGACGGCCUUCGGGUUGUAAACCGCUUUCGCCUGUGACGAAGCGUGAGUGACGGUAAUGGGUAAAGAAGCACCGGCUAACUACGU